AGCGAACGCUGGCGGCAGGCCUAACACAUGCAAGUCGAACGGAUCCUUCGGGAUUAGUGGCGGACGGGUGAGUAACACGUGGGAACGUGCCCUUUGGUUCGGAAUAACUCAGGGAAACUUGUGCUAAUACCGAAUGUGCCCUUCGGGGGAAAGAUUUAUCGCCUUUAGAGCGGCCCGCGUCUGAUUAGCUAGUUGGUGAGGUAAAGGCUCACCAAGGCGACGAUCAGUAGCUGGUCUGAGAGGAUGAUCAGCCACAUUGGGACUGAGACACGGCCCAAACUCCUACGGGAGGCAGCAGUGGGGAAUCUUGCGCAAUGGGCGAAAGCCUGACGCAGCCAUGCCGCGUGAAUGAUGAAGGUCUUAGGAUUGUAAAAUUCUUUCACCGGGGACGAUAAUGACGGUACCCGGAGAAGAAGCCCCGGCUAACUUCGUGCCAGCAGCCGCAGUAAUAC
rnacentral:rRNA from 1 species